rnacentral:rRNA from 1 species
UACAGAGGAUGCAAGCGUUAUCCGGAAUGAUUGGGCGUAAGCGUCUGUAGGUGGCUUUUAAGUCCGCCGUCAAAUCCCAGGGCUCAACUCUGGACAGGCGGUGGAAACUACCAAGCUUGAGUACGGUAGGGGCAGAGGGAAUUUCCGGUGGAGCGGUGAAAUGCGCAGAUAUCAGGAGGAACACCGGUGGCGAAGGCGGGUCUCUGGGCAAUAACUGACGCUGAGGAGCGAAAGCGUGGGGAGCGAACAGG